GCCACACGUCACAUUUCACCGGUAUACUAUUAGAGCACCGUCGUGCCGCACUCCACGUUCCGCCGGUGUCCAGGUCGCACGUCACAUCCCACCGCUGCCACCAGUGUACCCCGAGCUCUACUCCUCGCCCCGCUGACCUCGGCGCUAGAAGUCCCAUCUCACGGCGCCGUCAUGGGCCGCCGCGCGAGCUUAGUGUCCCCGCUCCUGGUGGCGGCGUUGUUGGUGCGGGUGGAGGCGGGCGAGAUGGUGAGCGUUUACCAAACCACGACGCUGCCCUCCUCAGCCGGCAUCCUGAACAUGACCAGCCCAUCCCUGUGCGGUUGUCGCGUGAGGUGCCUGACGGUGCCCUACUGCACGGCGGUGACGGCACACAAAAACGUUUCCGGUG